GCGACAUAAGUUUAAUCCGGUUGACGCAUUUUCAAUUUAUUUGUAUUGUUUGUAGUUUAGAUCUGGUUUUUGGUGGAGAAUAAACUGUUCGUAUUUAAAUGCUUUAAUUAUCUACUGAAAAGAAACUGCUUAGCUCUCAUGCUUGAAACCUAUGUCGAGAUAUGAACUUAAGCAUAAACAACGUGCGGCAUGAAAGUCGAGAAAUCAAUUAUAGUUCAGUUAUGCAUGAAAUGAGGGGAACCCCCUCUCCCGAUUUCAUUUGUUAUUUAACUUCCUGUUUCACUUUCUGUUGUGUUUCAACACGACGUAAGGUAACGUGCGAGGAGGUUCUUCUAUUCAGAAACUCCAACUGUUCAAAUAUUUUAAAUUUAAUCCUUGUAAACUUUUCUCCAUAGGCUACCGGCCAUCUGAAUCAAAGUUUUCCGUCUCAUCAGCUGAGGUGAAGGUCUGAGGUUAGCAAGUCUUCUGAGAUCAUCUGAAUCAUAGUUUUCUGUCUGAUAAGCUGAGGUGAAGGUCUGAGCUGAGGCUAGCAAGGCUUCAAGACCAUCUGAAUCAUAGUUUCUGUCUAAUAAGCUGAAGUUAAGGUCUGAGCUGAGGCUACCGAGUCAUCUGAAUCAUAAUUUUCUGUCUGAUUAGCCGAGGCGAAGGUCUGAGGCUACCGAGCCAUCUGAAUCAUAGUUUUCCGCCUGAUCAGUUGAGGUGAAGGUCUGAGGCUAGCAAGUCAUCUGAGACCAAUCAGCUGAGGUGAAGGUCUGAGCUGAGGCUAGCAAGUCAUCUGCGGCCAUCUGAAGCAUAGUUUUCUGUCUGAUCAGCUGAAAUGAAGAUUUGAGCUGAGGUACGUAUUCGAUACAUAAUAGACGCAUAAUGUUUGUCGACGCAUUUUGAAUCCAUACUCAUUGUCUGUAUUUUAGAUCUGGUUUCUCGUGGGAAAUGAAGUAUUUAAAUUGUGCUUAAUAUUUGAAAAUGCUGUUGUUGUAUGUGUUUUUUCUCAACGUUACUCAGUCUUAUGCAUAAGAUAUCCAGAAAUUGUGACACUGAUCACUUGAUAUCGCUGAAGUUUAUUGAAGGUCAUUCAACUUCCCGUAUCAAACGUGCUUUCCGGCCUCAACUUUAUA
rnacentral:lncRNA from 1 species